UUAAAUCCAAAGUUCCACUUGUUCUAGGCUUCUAGCAGCCUUUCAAGCUCACUUUUCAUCAUGCAGUUACUACAAGUUUGCUAGACCAGGAUAUGUGUCCACUACAAGCUUUUUUAUUGAAACCUAUGUCCACUACAAGCUGACAAAAACAAGGGUUGGCAAGAUGUCAACACUAUGUAACAUGAUGUCAACACUGUGACACUUCAAGGUCCAAAAAGAGAGUACAUGGAUGAUCUUUUUCCUUCUCCUAGAUCAUGUUUAUGCCCUAUAUAUAAAUUCUCUCCAACCAUCUUCUUGUGUUCAUGACUCUUCUCAAUCUAACCAUAUGCAUCAACAAUACUAGCCUAAUGGAGAAGCUGGCAGUAACCACUGACAUUAUCUGAAGAAAUUACUUGCCGGUUACAGCAAUGAAGAGAAGCUGAACCCAGAGGAGUGGUACUGAGAACACAGGUGCCAAUACAAUGUAUGGUGAGCUACUGUAUAAUGGAGUAAUUCUGUAACUGUGUUCUCAGGUCACCCCUUUGGGUUUCUUCUCAUGAUUCUUUGUCCAAUUUGAGAUAGUGGUAUACUUGAAUGAUUAGAUUGGUUUAUCUUGAUUCAUGAGCAAGGAUAUGUCUAUAUACCAGGGUUAGACAUUUCGGACCGAAAUUUCCGAAAAUUUCGGUCCCCUCUGAUACGAUAUUAUUCCGGCUGAAUUUCUUCAAUUUUUCAAAAUUUUCAUA
rnacentral:precursor_RNA from 1 species